rnacentral:rRNA from 1 species
UACUGGGCUUAAAGAGUUCGUAGGUGGUUAAAAAAGUUGGUGGUGAAAUCCCAGAGCUUAACUCUGGAACUGCCAUCAAAACUUUUUAGCUAGAGUAUGAUAGAGGAAAGCAGAAUUUCUAGUGUAGAGGUGAAAUUCGUAGAUAUUAGAAAGAAUACCAAUUGCGAAGGCAGCUUUCUGGAUCAUUACUGACACUGAGGAACGAAAGCAUGGGUAGCGAAGAGGAUUAGAUACCCUCGUAGUCCAUGCCGUAAACGAUGUGUGUUAGACGUUGGAAAUUUAUUUUCAGUGUCGCAGCGAAAGCAUUAAACACACCGCCUGGGGAGUACGACCGCAAGGUUAAAACUCAAAUGAAUUGACGGGGACCCGCACAAGUAGUGGAGCAUGUGGUUUAAUUCGAAGAUACGCGCAGAACCUUACCAACACUUGACAUGUUCGUCGCGACUUUAAGAGAUUAAAGUUUUCGGUUCGGCCGGACGAAACACAGGUGCUGCAUGGCUGUCGUCAGCUCGUGUCGUGAGAUGUUGGGUUAAGUCCCGCAACGAGCGCAACCCUCACUUUUAGUUGCCAUCAUUUAGUUGGGCACUCUGAAAGAACUGCCAGUGAUAAGCUGGAGGAAGGUGGGGAUGACGUCAAGUCCUCAUGGCCCUUACGUGUUGGGCUACACACGUGCUACAAUGGCAUUUACAAUAGGAAGCAAGAUGGCGACGUCAAGCAAAUCCUAAAAAAAUGCCUCAGUUCGGAUUGUACUCUGCAACUCGAGUACAUGAAGCUGGAAUUACUAGUAAUCGCGGAUCAGCGCGCCGCGGUGAAUACGUUCCCGGGUCUUGUACACACCGCCCGUCACACCA